rnacentral:rRNA from 1 species
UACGUAGGGGGCAAGCGUUGUCCGGAUUUACUGGGCGUAAAGCGCCUGUAGGCGGCCUGUCAAGUCCGGCCUGAAAGCCCCCCGCUCAACGGGGGAGGGUGGCUGGAAACUGGCAGGCUUGAGGGCGAGAGAGGAGGGUGGAAUUCCUGGUGUAGCGGUGAAAUGCGUAGAUAUCAGGAGGAACACCGGUGGCGAAGGCGGCCCUCUGGACGGUGACUGACGCUGAGACGCGAAAGCGUGGGGAGCAAACAGG